rnacentral:rRNA from 2 species
ACGGGUGCGUAACGCGUGGGAAUCUGCCCUUUGGUUCGGAAUAACAGUUGGAAACGACUGCUAAUACCGGAUGAUGACGAAAGUCCAAAGAUUUAUCGCCAGAGGAUGAGCCCGCGUAGGAUUAGCUAGUUGGUGUGGUAAAGGCGCACCAAGGCGACGAUCCUUAGCUGGUCUGAGAGGAUGAUCAGCCACACUGGGACUGAGACACGGCCCAGACUCCUACGGGAGGCAGCAGUGGGGAAUAUUGGACAAUGGGCGAAAGCCUGAUCCAGCAAUGCCGCGUGAGUGAUGAAGGCCUUAGGGUUGUAAAGCUCUUUUACCCGGGAUGAUAAUGACAGUACCGGGAGAAUAAGCUCCGGCUAACUCCGUGCCAGCAGCCGCGGUAAUACGGAGGGAGCUAGCGUUGUUCGGAAUUACUGGGCGUAAAGCGCACGUAGGCGGCUUUGUAAGUUAGAGGUGAAAGCCUGGAGCUCAACUCCAGAACUGCCUUUAAGACUGCAUCGCUUGAAUCCAGGAGAGGUGAGUGGAAUUCCGAGUGUAGAGGUGAAAUUCGUAGA